rnacentral:rRNA from 1 species
AAUUGGAGGGCAAGUCUGGUGCCAGCAGCCGCGGUAAUUCCAGCUCCAAUAGCGUAUAUUAGAGUUGUUGCAGUUAAAAAGCUCGUAGUUGAAUUUCGGGAUCAAUAUUUCGGUCAUGCCGUUGGUAUGCACUGUUAUCAUUGAUUUCUCACCUUCUAAAGAACCGUAAUGCCAUUAAUUUGGUGUUACGGGGAAUUAGGACUGUUACCUUGAAAAAAUUAGAGUGUUUAAAGCAGGCUCACGCUUGAAUACAUUAGCAUGGAAUAAUGAAAUAGGACAUCCGAUUCUAUUUUGUUGGUUUCUAGGAUCGAUGUAAUGAUUAAUAGGGAUAGUUGGGGGCAUUAGUAUUCAAUUGUCAGAGGUGAAAUUCUUGGAUUUAUUGAAGACUAACUACUGCGAAAGCAUUUGCCAAGGAUGUUUUCAUUAAUCAAGAACGAAAGUUAGGGGAUCGAAGACGAUCAGAUACCGUCGUAGUCUUAACCAUAAACUAUGCCGACUAGGGAUCGGAUGAUGUUAAUUUUUUAAUGACUCAUUCGGCGCCUUACGGGAAACCAAAGUGU